rnacentral:misc_RNA from 1 species
UUUCAGUUUUCUCUCUUUUUCCAAGCCGUUUGCAUGGAUAGUUACCGAGGAAAUCCCGGGCGGCUGUUUUCGUGGAAGGCUAUCUUCUUUUCAGGUUUUCUUCAAUGAAAAAAUUAUUAACCUAUGUUUUAUGAGUGAGUUUGAGGUGAAUAAAUUUGGAAAUGGAGAUGAAAAGAUGAUUAAUAUGCACGAAAAAUGGUCCAAAAGCAAUAUUCGAUACCAACUCAACAGAACCACGAUAAAUGUUAUAGCCAGAUAAAAAAGAUAUAAAAGAAAAAUCAAGAUGACUAGAGAUAAUGAUAUACAAACAAUUUUUAAUCCAAGAGGAUCUCAAAGAAAUCGCACACCUAGUGUCUUGGUUACAGAGGAAGGAGUGGCAAAUGGUCCGUCAUUUGGUCAUUCAGACUCCUUGGGUAGUCAACUCGAUUCAGUAGAGCCACUAUCACCUGCUACUCCUCAAGCAGUUGUUCGCCUUAUGGAUAGUAAUGGUACAGUUGAGGGUGCAGCUAAUGGGUCAACACCAGCCACUGGAUUCAGGGCAAAACUAAAGUCAUGUUCUGCAUCAUUUUGCUCAAGGUCUGCAAGAAAGAUAUACUUUGGAGUAUGGGUAACCGUAUGUGUAACAGCCUCGUGGGUAGGAGCAACACACAGCAUAAAAUACUUAUACUUAAGGCGCCCAAAAGAUGAAGAAUAUAAUGAUCCUAUUUUGGUUCCCCACGAUACAACUGAUCUAAAUAUGACUGUUGUGCAAACAAAAUUUGCUGUUUCUUAUCAAGCGCCAUUUUUUACUACAUGGUUUGUGACUAACUGGACCAUGUUCUUCUUUCCACUUUAUUUUAUAAGUAGACUGAGUACUAAAAGAUGUGAAUCCAUGUCCGAUAUACUCUCAGAAAGCAUACGAGACUUUCGAGAUAAAGGGUUUACAGCUGUAAGAUUCAUGACAAGGUGCAGCCUUUUUUGUCUUCUUUGGGUGGGGACAAACUACAUGUACAUAUUAUCGUUAAGGAUAUUAUUAGCAACCGAUGUGAUGGCACUUUUUGCAACAAAUGUAUCAUUUGUUUAUUUGUUAAGCUGGGUUAUUCUACAUGAGCAAUUUGUCGGCAUACGUAUUGUAGCUGUGAUAAUUUGCGACACAGGUGUGGCUUUGUUGGCAUAUAUGGAUGGCAUCACCGGUAGUCCUACAUUAGCUGGUGUAGUAUUAGCCACGUCAGCGGCUGCAGGUUCUGGAGUUUAUAAAGUUUUGUUUAAGAAGGUAAUUGGAGAAGCCACAUAUGGACAAGUGGCUCUGUUUUUCUCGCUCAUAGGAAUGCUCAAUGCCGCUCUUUUGUGGCCUCUGAGCCUAGGGCUGUUUUUAACAGGGGUAGAGACCCUACAUUGGGAUAGACUACCUUGGCCUGCGCUACUUAGCGCUAGCUGUCUUUCAUUAGUGGCCAAUUUACUAGGCAACUUCAGCGUUGCACUUACCUAUGACCUGUUUAUAACCUUAGGGCUCAUUACUGCCGUACCAGUAUCUGCAGCUCUAGAUGUGGUUUUAUAUGGUGCCCAGUUCGAAGGGAUGAAAUUGGCGGGAAUGAUUUUAAUUGCAGUCGGUUUCUUUCUUGUCAUGUUUCCUGACAAUUGGCCAGACUAUAUUACCAGGCUCUUAAGAAUUACCACGCGUAUCUUCAAUGGGAAGAAAUAUCAUCAUGUUAACGCACAGUGCGAGACCGACUUUCUACACCAAGCGAGACGUUCCAGCCAAUGAAGAACGCAUGAGAGGCCGCGACGUGACCACAGUAAUUAUCAGACACUAGUGCCCUUGUACACACUUUGAACCGUGGAGUAGACGUAGUCGAAAUGGUAUCCAAGGAUUCCACCGACGUGAUGUUGUAGAUUAUAGGACAGGCUACAUAAGAUCUCACCUUAGGUCUCCUUCUGGACGAGUCAGAUGAUCCAGCUAUAGUCCCACCUGUAGAGAAAAAAAGAAUUCAUUGACAAUCCCUGAAAUUAGUGGACGAUCAAGUUUACCAGAAAAUUUAGUCGGAUACUUUGUUGAGUAUGUUUAAAAAUGUAUGUUCAUAAUUUUUUAUCAUACUUGCAAGAUAUAAGAAUGAUAAACUUCAUAUUUAAAGGUAGAAUUAGCAGGUCAAGGUAAAGAUAUUGAGAAUUUGUUAGUAAUUUUGUUUCUGGAUUAUAGUUAAAUCAACAAAUUCAAAUGUUCUCAGAAAAAAAAAACAGCACACGUUUAUUUUGCAAAAUUCAAUUACAUGAUCUAGUAAUUAUAUGAAUGAUAUAAAUUGAUGGAAUAUUAUUGUAAGCUCUCUUGGUGAUGGACUAUAUAAUGUACUGGUAUAAUGUUAAGACAGUUAAACUUGUGAUAGAUAUUUAAUUAAUAGAAUAUAUUUCAAAGGAAUAAAGUUUAAUAUUGAAAGUUGUGCCAAACAUGUAGUUGACA